AUUCACAGUGCUACGUCGACAAGAUAAGAGAAGAAUUGGAGAGCAGAUCAUGUACUAUUAGAACAAGGUGUGCUGUGGAAUCAAUUUUUAGUACUGAUGCAGGAUGCUGUGUGGUAGGAGAAGAUUGUUCCAAAGAUAUAUAUGAUGGAUGCAUAAUUAGCACUCAU